rnacentral:lncRNA from 1 species
AAAAUGUUUGCCUCUUUCAUUUUACUGUGGACUUUUGAGGGACGCAGCCAACCAACAAUCGUGUUGACUGCCUUAAUUUGCAUCAAGAGGAAUGCAGAGGAGCUCCUCCUUAAUUAUAUCUGGAAAUGUUGCUCAUCUGAUAGUGCAUAUAUACCUGUACUGAGUUGAAAAACAACAUGGGAUUAUCUUAAAUCAUCAUCACUUUGGUCAACUAAAAUUUAAAAAUACCAUAACCGCGUUGAUGACAUUUGCAUGCUUUACUUGAAAGAAACAUUAGAAGAAUUAUUAAUCGUUUCUUAAAAAUACCAUA